rnacentral:rRNA from 1 species
UACGUAGGGGGCAAGCGUUGUCCGGAAUCAUUGGGCGUAAAGCGCACGUAGGCGGCUUUCUAAGUCAGGGGUGAAAUCCUGGAGCUCAACUCCAGAACUGCCUUUGAUACUGGAGAGCUUGAGUCCGGAAGAGGUGAGUGGAACUCCGAGUGUAGAGGUGAAAUUCGUAGAUAUUCGGAAGAACACCAGUGGCGAAGGCGGCUCACUGGUCCGGUACUGACGCUGAGGUGCGAAAACGUGGGGAGCAAACAGG